AUUGAACGCUGGCGGCGUGCCUAAUACAUGCAAGUAGAACGCAGUUGCGAACGGGUGAGUAACGCGUAGGUAACUGCCUCAUAGCGGGGGAUAACUAUUGGAAACGAUAGCUAAUACCGCAGAUUGUGAGAUGGACCUGCGUUGUAUUAGCUAGUUGGUGAGGUAAAGGCUCACAAAGGCAACGAUACAUAGCCGACCUGAGAGGGUGAUCGGCCACACGGUGACGGAGCCACGGCCCAGACUCCUACGGGAGGCAGCGGUAGGGAAUUUUCGGCAAUGGACGGAAGGCGGACCGAGCAACGCCGCGUGAGUGAAGAAGGUUUUCGGAUCGUAAAACUCUGUUGUUAGAGAAGCGGUAUCUAACCAGAAAGCCACGGCUAACUACGUGCCAGCAGCCGCGGUAAUUC
rnacentral:rRNA from 1 species